GACGAACCGAGCAAACGUUAUUCGGAAUCACUGGGCUUAAAGGGCGCGUAGGCGGGUCGUACAGUCUAUGGUGAAAUCCUCCAGCUUAACUGGAGAACUGCCGUGGAUACUCACGACCUCGAGGAAUGUAGGGGCAUCUGGAACUGGUGGUGGAGCGGUGAAAUGCGUUGAUAUCAUCAGGAACUCCGGUGGCGAAGGCGAGGUGCUGGACAUUUUCUGACGCUGAGGCGCGAAAGCCAGGGGAGCAAACGGGAUUAGAUACCCCGGUAGUCCUGGCCCUAAACGAUGAGAACCAGAUAGUGGACUAGCAUGGGUUCACUGUCGAAGCAAAAGUGCUAAGUUCUCCGCCUGGGGAGUAUGGUCGCAAGGCUGAA
rnacentral:rRNA from 1 species